CUGUGUUGCUCUGUUUUUUCCCAGGCCCACCAAAAACCAAGAUAUCACAGAGGACGAACUGAGAGCUCACUGUGAGAAAGAGCUGUUGGAUCACAUGUGGCCGGACCACUAUGUCGUCAUGGAGACGUUCCCCAGGGUGGGGAUCAGGCAAAAGGUAUCCAAAGAAGAACUCCUGAAAAAUGCCAAGAAAAUUCUCCUGGAUUCCGGUAAAUUGAAGUGGAGUGAGAUGAACCAGUGAAAACAGUGGCGACAAGACAGGCCUGGAAUUGUCUCACAUCCGGGGCUUCUGACAUUUGAGAGAUUUCCCGCGAGACGAGAUUGAAACUUUCCAUUGACCAAUAUCGAUUUGUGCUAGUAUAAACAGAAAAGAAAAAAGGGAAAUCAAUUUAAGAAAUGAAAAA